rnacentral:rRNA from 1 species
GACGGAGGAUGCAAGCGUUAUCCGGAAUGAUUGGGCGUAAAGCGUCCGCAGGUGGCAGUUCAAGUCUGCUGUCAAAGACCGGGGCUUAACUUCGGAAAGGCAGUGGAAACUGAACAGCUAGAGUAUGGUAGGGGCAAAGGGAAUUCCUGGUGUAGCGGUGAAAUGCGUAGAGAUCAGGAAGAACAUCGGUGGCGAAGGCGCUUUGCUGGACCAUAACUGACACUCAGGGACGAAAGCUAGGGGAGCGAAUGGG